AAUAAAAUGGUAACAAAAUUACACACACACACACAUAUAUAUUGUUCGCAGGUUCAAGCACAAGUCAAUCUUCACAAAAGCAAAGCUUGGCCAUCUUGGCAACCAUCCAGAAAACACAAGUCACAUAAAAGGACCCCUAUUCACUGGUCUAAAAUAGUUCAAACACUAGAUGGUCCAAAUAAUUGAGUAACAUCCAUGAGCACAAGAUUUCUACUCCAUAACACUUGAGCACCAAAUGGUCCAGAAAACACAUAAGAUUCACGAUUACAAUUAAGUUGGCUGGUCCAAAAUACUGUAGACAGCCAAAUGCUCCAGAACACUUCAAAGUCAUCACAUCCAUGCGUACUAGGUUGCUGAUUACCUGAAAAUACUCCACAAGAAUUUGGUAGAAAGUGGAGUCAGCUCAAGUGCUUUGAAGCUCAUAGGGAGAUUGGCAGCCGAGAGAAGCACAAGAAUUAACUAUUUAUGACAUAUAUCCAUAACACACAUAACAUAGUUCGGUCAUACAUGAGGUCAAAUAUUUAUAAAAUGCUGAAACGAAUCAUCAUGCAGACAUAUCUACAUAUGCAUAGAAUAAGUAUUUCGCCAUGGCAAGCAUAUCUACAAAUUUUAUUCAACGUCUUACAUGCAAGAAAAUGUAGUAGGAUAAGCCAAUGUGAAGUUGUAUUUGUUCUAAUACGAAGUUAGCUGAUGUGAUCUUCAAAGUUUGAAAAUAAUGGUACAAAUAAGUGUUAGUACGUUAUCUGAUGAAGUAGAACUAAAAUGUACAAGUUCUGACCAAAAAAAUUGUAAUAUGUGAAGUUCAGUUUAUGCCAUGUGAUUUUCAGAUUGUGACCACCAAAGGGAUAACGCCAAACUAAUGUGUGUAUGUUUAACUCCUAAGCAAUGUAUGUGCGCUUCAAAUCAUGUUGUGUCAUUUUCAUAUUUUUAAUUAUAAACUGCAGUAUGUGGAGUUUUAUCAACAAGAUACAAAACAUAUCUAGUAAUGCUAUAAGUUCAGGCAGAAAUCUGGCUCUCUAGUCAAGGCUCAAAAUGAUCUAUGUAUAUUUCUAAGAGAGAAAUAAUAAACUUAAUGUAUGUCAUAUGUUUAGUACCUGCACCUGGUACAUUAGUUGCCUUCUUGUCAUCCUUGAUCUACAACAAUAACCGUGAAAUAGCAGGUGCCUUCUUAUCAGUUUGAGGCUACUUCUUCCACUGCAAAUUGCUCUGACAAAAUGUGUAGACAUGUAUCAACCAUCCUGCAAAAAAGGAAAAAUGUGUUCAAUAUAGAUAACUCGACUUCCCAUAAAUCAAAUCAUAAAGUAAAGGCCAAAGGUCUGCAAGUUAUGUACUUGGUUAGUAUAAUGAAUGAACUUGUCAAAAGAACAAAUAUUAUGCCAUCAACCAGAAUGAACACAAACAUCUCAUAAAAGUACAUUGAAAGUCUGAAUUCUGAAACUAUCUAGCCACUGCACUAAGGCGGCCUCUAAGGUUUGAAUGUGAUCGGAACUUGCAACUCCCCUCUGGAAACCAUAUCCAGCUUCAAGUAGUUGAAGGUAUGUGGAUGCAGAGGAAGAUGAGAUUAUAUGUUGAACCUAAGGUUUGAAUGCUAAUGCCAUAUUCAUGAAAAAGGAAAACUUCACCGUGCUCACAUAAAAAAAUUAUAUCAAACGAAGACACCGUUAUUCAUAAAUAUCCAGUGUAUUCAAAAGUGAUGGAGAAUAAAAUUGGAAUGUGCCUCCUCAAACGCUGACUGGACUCAGGGUCCACCUCGGCGCCCUCCGCUCGCCCACCUCCCGUCCUCGUUGACAGGUAGUACCACGGACUUGCUGCCCUGUAGGCUCAACAUCAUGUACAACCGCUC
rnacentral:lncRNA from 1 species